GAUUAAUGUUGGCAGUGUGCCUAAUACAUGCAAGUCGAGCGAUAUAGCGGCGGACGAGAGAGUAAUAGAAAGGAACAUGCCCCGAACUCAAGGAUAGCCACCCGAAAGGGUGGGUAAUCCUGGAUAGUCCCGCAAGGGUAAAGCUUUAUGCGGUUCGGGAGUGGCCUUUCUCCUAUCAGCUUGUUGGUGAGGUAAUAGCUCACCAAGGCGAUGACGGGUAGCUGGUCUGAGAGGAUGACCAGCCUCGAUGGGACUGAGACACGGCCCAUACUCCUACGGGAGGCAGCAGUAGGGAAUUUUGCACAAUGGACGCAAGUCUGAUGCAGCAACACUGCGUGAAGGAUGAAGGUUUUCGGAUCGUAAACUUCUUUUAUCAGGGAAUAAUCAUGAAGGUACCUGAUGAAUAAGCACCGGCUAACUACGUGCCAGCAGCCGCGGUAAUACGUAGGGUGCAAACAUUAUCCGGAUUUAUUGGGCGUAAAGAGCUCGUAGGUGGUUUUGAAAGUCUGAUAUGAAAGACUCCGGCUCAACUGGAGGAACGUAUCGGAAACUUCAUUACUUGAGGUAUACAGGGGAAGAUGGAACUCAUAGUGUAGCAGUGAAAUGCGUAGAUAUUAUGAGGAACGCCAAUGGUGAAGACAGUCUUCUGGGUAUAUCCUGACACUGAGGAGCGAAAGCGUGGGGAGCAAACGGGAUUAGAUACCCCGGUAGUCCACGCCGUAAACGAUGCACACUAGGAAUGCGGAGAAUCGACCCUCUGCGUUUCGAAGCUAACGCGUUAAGUGUGCCGCCUGGGUAGUACGGCCGCAAGGCUAAAACUCAAAGGAAUUGACGGGGACCCGCACAAGCGGUGGAACAUGAGGUUUAAUUCGUCAACAAGCGAAGAACCUUACCAAGGCUUGACAUCUAUGGAAUCCCGCGGAAACGUGGGAGUGCCGCAAGGAGCCAUAAGACAGGUGCUGCACGGUCGUCGUCAGCUCGUGCUGUGAAGUGUCCCGUUAAGUCGGUAAACGAGCGCAACCCCUAUCGUAUGUUACUUUUUCAUACGAGACUGCCGGUGUUAAAUCGGAGGAAGGUGGGGAUGACGUCAGAUCAGCGUGGCCCUUACGCCUUGGGCUACACUCGUGUUACAAUGGGGUGAACAAAGGGUUGCAAAGCCGCGAGGUGGAGCUAAUCCCAUCAAAUCACCCCCCAGUUCGGAUUGGAGGCUGAAAUUCGCCUCCAUGAAGUCGGAAUCGCUAGUAAUCGUGGGUCAGCCAUACCACGGUGAAUACGUUCUCGGGUCUUGUACACACCGCCCGUCAAGUCAGGAAAGUCGGUAACGCCCGAAGCGCCCAACAGGGCACCACGGUGGGAUCGGUGAUCAGGACU
rnacentral:rRNA from 1 species